UCACUCGAGCGCCGCUUCUGCUACUACGUAUACCAAGUUUGCCCGACAAACGCUUUCGUCUACGCUCUAAGGCUUCUUUCUACGCUGUUCGUCGAGAGAAAUCGUUGUUGCGAGUUAUAAAACAUCAUUCGAUGCUUUUGCGAUGGAUUACGGCGAAGAGAUGUUCGUGAAUCUUAAAGGAAUUGAUAUUGGAUCGAUCGGAUUCCGAUGAAUUCCCUUGAGCUACUCUCCGCAACGUCACUUUAAUUCCAUAUACGACCACCAUCGUUCAAACUUCAUUCAAACUCCUCCAACCAGAAAAAAAAAAAGAAAAUGUUCAAGUCAACUCCAAUUGACCAAAAGGAUCAAGUCUGGGUUUAAGGAAGAUUUGCUGAAGAAAAAGUAUAGGUAGCCAACUAUAAAUCAGGCCCAUGGAAGGAUUACGUGAACGUUGUUGGCAAUGAUGGUACGUGGAGGCUAACGAUCGUCAAAAGUCAGGAAGCUCGGUCGUAAAUUCGUCUAAGACAUUUAUAGACGGACACCUCGCGGCCGGAAAUUCUUCCUAGACCUCUAGCUGAGCCUCUGCAACAGACCUAACCUAAUCUCACAAGUGAUCGUUAAUUUGACAACAGAGUUUCUCGAACUGUGUAAGAAUUGGAUCGUAACGUCCAGACCUGUCUCGUUAAUUGUUAGAACGAUUUAUCGAGUUGGUUGGACAAUGGUAAGAUUGUACUUAAAGGUUACUUGGCUGCGAUCCAAAUACUGGCUAAGAGCUGUUUUGGAACGUACUAAUUCCAUG